UAAGCGACUAAGCGUACACGGUGGAUGCCUAGGCAGUCAGAGGCGAUGAAGGGCGUGCUAAUCUGCGAAAAGCGUCGGUAAGGUGAUAUGAACCGUUAUAACCGACGAUACCCGAAUGGGGAAACCCAGUGCAAUUCGUUGCACUAUUGCAUGGUGAAUACAUAGCCAUGCAAGGCGAACCGGGGGAACUGAAACAUCUAAGUACCCCGAGGAAAAGAAAUCAACCGAGAUUCCCCCAGUAGCGGCGAGCGAACGGGGAGGAGCCCAGAACCUGAAUCAGCAUAUGUGUUAGUGGAAGCGUCUGGAAAGUCGCACGGUACAGGGUGAUAGUCCCGUACACAAAAAUGCAUACGUUGUGAGUUCGAUGAGUAGGGCGGGACACGUGACAUCCUGUCUGAAUAUGGGGGGACCAUCCUCCAAGGCUAAAUACUCCUGACUGACCGAUAGUGAACCAGUACCGUGAGGGAAAGGCGAAAAGAACCCCGGCGAGGGGAGUGAAAUAGAACCUGAAACCGUGUACGUACAAGCAGUGGGAGCACCUUCUUGGUGUGACUGCGUACCUUUUGUAUAAUGGGUCAGCGACUUAUAUUUUGUAGCAAGGUUAACCGAAUAGGGGAGCCGUAGGGAAACCGAGUCUUAACUGGGCGAAUAGUUGCAAGGUAUAGACCCGAAACCCGGUGAUCUAGCCAUGGGCAGGUUGAAGGUUGGGUAACACUAACUGGAGGACCGAACCGACUAAUGUUGAAAAAUUAGCGGAUGACUUGUGGCUGGGGGUGAAAGGCCAAUCAAACCGGGAGAUAGCUGGUUCUCCCCGAAAGCUAUUUAGGUAGCGCCUCGUGAACUCAUCUUCGGGGGUAGAGCACUGUUUCGGCUAGGGGGUCAUCCCGACUUACCAAACCGAUGCAAACUCCGAAUACCGAAGAAUGUUAUCACGGGAGACACACGGCGGGUGCUAACGUCCGUCGUGAAGAGGGAAACAACCCAGACCGCCAGCUAAGGUCCCAAAGUCAUGGUUAAGUGGGAAACGAUGUGGGAAGGCACAGACAGCCAGGAUGUUGGCUUAGAAGCAGCCAUCAUUUAAAGAAAGCGUAAUAGCUCACUGGUCGAGUCGGCCUGCGCGGAAGAUGUAACGGGGCUAAACCAUGCACCGAAGCUGCGGCAGCGACACUUAGGUGUUGUUGGGUAGGGGAGCGUUCUGUAAGCCGUUGAAGGUGACCUGUGAGGGUUGCUGGAGGUAUCAGAAGUGCGAAUGCUGACAUAAGUAACGAUAAUGCGGGUGAAAAACCCGCACGCCGGAAGACCAAGGGUUCCUGUCCAACGUUAAUCGGGGCAGGGUGAGUCGACCCCUAAGGCGAGGCUGAAAAGCGUAGUCGAUGGGAAACAGGUUAAUAUUCCUGUACUUGGUGUUACUGCGAAGGGGGGACGGAGAAGGCUAGGCUAGCCGGGCGACGGUUGUCCCGGUUUAAGCAUGUAGGCGGAGUGACUUGGUAAAUCCGGUUGCUUAUCAACGCUGAGGUGUGAUGACGAGCCACUACGGUGGUGAAGUAGUUGAUGCCAAGCUUCCAGGAAAAGCCUCUAAGCAUCAGGUAACAUUAAAUCGUACCCCAAACCGACACAGGUGGUCAGGUAGAGAAUACUCAGGCGCUUGAGAGAACUCGGGUGAAGGAACUAGGCAAAAUGGUGCCGUAACUUCGGGAGAAGGCACGCUGGCAUUAGGUAAAGGGACUUGCUCCCGGCGCCGAAGCCAGUCGCAGAUACCAGCUGGCUGCAACUGUUUAAUAAAAACACAGCACUGUGCAAACACGAAAGUGGACGUAUACGGUGUGACGCCUGCCCGGUGCUGGAAGGUUAAUUGAUGGGGUCAGCCGCAAGGCGAAGCUCUUGAUCGAAGCCCCAGUAAACGGCGGCCGUAACUAUAACGGUCCUAAGGUAGCGAAAUUCCUUGUCGGGUAAGUUCCGACCUGCACGAAUGGCGUAAUGAUGGCCAGGCUGUCUCCACCCGAGACUCAGUGAAAUUGAACUCGCUGUGAAGAUGCAGUGUACCCGCGGCAAGACGGAAAGACCCCGUGAACCUUUACUAUAGCUUGACACUGAACAUUGAGCCUUGAUGUGUAGGAUAGGUGGGAGGCAUCGAAGUGUGGACGCCAGUCUGCAUGGAGCCAACCUUGAAAUACCACCCUUUAAUGUUUGAUGUUCUAACUCGGCCCCAUAAUCUGGGGUGAGGACAGUGUCUGGUGGGUAGUUUGACUGGGGCGGUCUCCUCCCAAAGAGUAACGGAGGAGCACGAAGGUUAGCUAAUCACGGUCGGACAUCGUGAGGUUAGUGCAAAGGCAUAAGCUAGCUUGACUGCGAGAGUGACGGCUCGAGCAGGUACGAAAGUAGGUCUUAGUGAUCCGGUGGUUCUGAAUGGAAGGGCCAUCGCUCAACGGAUAAAAGGUACUCCGGGGAUAACAGGCUGAUACCGCCCAAGAGUUCAUAUCGACGGCGGUGUUUGGCACCUCGAUGUCGGCUCAUCACAUCCUGGGGCUGAAGUAGGUCCCAAGGGUAUGGCUGUUCGCCAUUUAAAGUGGUACGCGAGCUGGGUUUAGAACGUCGUGAGACAGUUCGGUCCCUAUCUGCCGUGGGCGUUGGAAGAUUGAGAGGGGCUGCUCCUAGUACGAGAGGACCGGAGUGGACGAAUCACUGGUGUUCGGGUUGUCAUGCCAAUGGCAUUGCCCGGUAGCUAAAUUCGGAAGAGAUAACCGCUGAAAGCAUCUAAGCGGGAAACUUGCCUCGAGAUGAGUCUUCCCUGGGGCUUUAAGCCCCCUGAAGGAACGUUAAAGACUAUGACGUUGAUAGGCUGGGUGUGUAAGUGCAGCGAUGCAUUGAGCUAACCAGUACUAAUGAUCCGUGAGGCUUAACCU
rnacentral:rRNA from 1 species